ensembl:snoRNA Gm22373 small nucleolar RNA SNORD116
UGAUCAAUGAUGAUUCCAAAAGAUUCUCUGGAAAGAUGAACAAAAUGAUUGAUUACUUAAUACCGCCACUCUCUUCGGACUGAGAUUU